AGCGGCGGAUGGGUGAGUAACACGUGGGGAACCUGCCCCUAAGUCUGGGAUACCAUUUGGAAACAGGUGCUAAUACCGGAUAAUAAAGCAGAUCGCAUGAUCAGCUUUUGAAAGGCGGCGUAAGCUGUCGCUAAGGGAUGGCCCCGCGGUGCAUUAGCUAGUUGGUAAGGUAACGGCUUACCAAGGCGACGAUGCAUAGCCGAGUUGAGAGACUGAUCGGCCACAUUGGGACUGAGACACGGCCCAAACUCCUACGGGAGGCAGCAGUAGGGAAUCUUCCACAAUGGACGCAAGUCUGAUGGAGCAACGCCGCGUGAGUGAAGAAGGUUUUCGGAUCGUAAAGCUCUGUUGUUGGUGAAGAAGGAUAGAGGUAGUAACUGGCCUUUAUUUGACGGUAAUCAACCAGAAAGUCACGGCUAACUACGUGCCAGCAGCCGCGGUAAUACGUAGGUGGCAAGCGUUGUCCGGAUUUAUUGGGCGUAAAGCGAGCGCAGGCGGAAAAAUAAGUCUAAUGUGAAAGCCCUCGGCUUAACCGAGGAACUGCAUCGGAAACUGUUUUUCUUGAGUGCAGAAGAGGAGAGUGGAACUCCAUGUGUAGCGGUGGAAUGCGUAGAUAUAUGGAAGAACACCAGUGGCGAAAGGCGGCUCUCUGGUCUGCAACUGACGCUGAGGCUCGAAAGCAUGGGUAGCGAACAGGAUUAGAUACCCUGGUAGUCCAUGCCGUAGACGAUGAGUGCUAAGUGU
rnacentral:rRNA from 1 species